AUGCAGCCCGCUGCAAGAGGUGAGACGUGGGACACGAGUUUCUUCUAGUUUUUGAUGAGUUAGAAGACAGAACUGCAGGUUGACGCAUGAUGACAUUAAGUGUCCAUUGCGUGUGUUUGCUGCUUGUGCUUUUGUCAACACAAGUAUACUUUGUAGAUACUGACGCGUGGGGUGUGUCGUACAGCAAGCCCACCUGUGCAACGCAAGACUCUUCAGUCACCCUGUCCUGCAGCUACACCUACCCUAGACAUUUAUCUGUCAAAGAAGUCUUCUGGACCAUAGAGGACUCUAGAACCCCAGCCAAGCUCAUAUAUGACCCAAAGUACGGACACAGGAUCGAGAUGGGGCCAGACUGUGGUGCGAAGGCAGGAACGUGUACAAUCACCAUCAAUCAGGUUUGAAAGCUUGAAAGCUUUUAUUUAAC